AGUUCAAGAGUACGUGAAACUGUGUGGCAGCAAACGGAGCCUUCCUCGAAGUUGCUCCGGGCGGAUCCAGCCUUGGGACGGCGAAUGCCCCUCGGUGUCGACCAGCAAUGGCUUCACCGGGGGCGCACAGCCGCCUCCUCGGUGCAUCUCCGCCCGGAGGUUACGGUAGGAACUGUUGGGCACGGACCUCAGGCCCGGGAACGAGUUUUCGCUCCGGCGUCAGCUCCCGGCGCCCGGCUCUGCGCCCGACAGGCUAGCGGCAGACUCGUAUAGCGAGCAGCACGUCUUGCUGCGGUCUGCCUUUCCCCCUACCGAGUAGGUUGGCGGAGGCUUCGACCCGUCUUGAAACACGGAC
rnacentral:rRNA from 1 species